GAUGAACGCUGGCGGCGUGCCUAAUACAUGCAAGUCGAGCGAACCACUUCGGUGGUGAGCGGCGAACGGGUGAGUAACACGUAGGUGAUCUGCCCAUCAGACGGGGACAACGAUUGGAAACGAUCGCUAAUACCGGAUAGGACGAAAGUUUAAAGGGUCUUCUGGCACCGCUGAUGGAUGAGCCUGCGGCGCAUUAGCGAGUUGGUAGGGUAAAGGCCUACCAAGGCAACGAUGCGUAGCCGACCUGAGAGGGUGAACGGCCACACUGGGACUGAGACACGGCCCAGACUCCUACGGGAGGCAGCAGUAGGGAAUCUUCGGCAAUGGGCGAAAGCCUGACCGGGCAACGCCGCGUGAAUGAUGAAGGCCUUCGGGUUGUAAAAUUCUGUUAUAAGGGAAGAACGACUUUAGUAGGAAAUGGCUAGAGUGUGACGGUACCUUAUGAGAAAGCCACGGCUAACUACGUGCCAGCAGCCGCCGUAA
rnacentral:rRNA from 1 species